UUUUUGAUGGAAAAGCACAGUAGACUAUUAAGGUAUUGCAUUUCUUAUUUAUAGUGCCUGUAGCUAGGUGUAUGGUGAUUGCUAAUUCACUGCCUGAGCCAGUGAUUGAGCACCUGGCGAAGGGACACAGCCAGCCCUGGGAGCACAGGUGAAAUUCCUGGUUCCCACCCCUCCCUAAGCCUCAUCUAAGGGCUGGCUGCCAAAGGGAAGGAUCUCUAUCUGGAUAUCCCUUCUAUUGGAGUGUUUGGUGAGUCCUGAUCCUUAGGAUGGAGCAGAUGGUGUGUGUCCACAUACGGUGUUUGAAAAUUAUGGAGGUUUUGAUUCUGGCUUUCCUACGUAAAGAAACAGUUUGCUUUCUGGAAAGAAUAAUUACUUUCAUUGGGACUGCACAGCCUCUCCAGUCUUGAUGCCAAUGCUUCUCCUGACAACCUGGUUGGGUUGGUGCCUACUGCUCCUCACUCCCUGCCCAGUCUUUCCUUUUGGGUUUGGCCAGAGCUAGGAGCUGAGGUGGGGCUGAUCUGCCCUGACAGAUGUGCUGCCAAGGAUGCUCCUCUGAGGCUGGUUUGAUGGGCUUUAAAAUACCAGAUGUGCAGUAGGUUUUACCAUGGAUUGGCAGAAGUCAGAGCCUUACGAUGCUGACCUCUGAUGUGCUUUGGUCAACACUUUAUAAAGAAACACUGACUUUUAAAAGGUUCUGACCAAAAAUGCUAGUCUGGAAAAAUAUGGACAAUGUAUAUAUUUUUAAAUGAAAAUGGGCUUCGACUUUAUGUAAUCAAUAAGGAUGUAGCUGGGACACUGUGUCUGAAUUUUACAAACAAACUGCACAUCAGAUUAUAAACUAUAUUCAGGGAUACAUAUACACAAAAUCUUGGUUAUUGGGAAAGGCUAGACAGAAAACAGACUGUGAUAGUCUAAGAUAUAAUUUAUGUGUAUUUAUUUUUAAAAUAAGUUUUAAAAUGUGCCCAAGAAACAAAAAUACAGGGUAAACUUGGGCAGCCAAGCCAGGCAGUUUCCUAAAAGAAGGUGAUAAUCUCUUCAACAAGACAUGCACAUUUCUGAGUGUGAGACAACUGAGAGCACCUAAUACCAGUCAGAUCUGUAGGAGCUAAAGCAUAAAUCAGGUGAUUUCAGCAACUGUUGGAGAAGCCAAGCAUCUUAGGAGGGGGACAGGAGUGUAACUGAGAUACUAUUUUUCUCUAAUGUCUGAAUUAACUUUGAGUAUGCAUGCCAACAUUUCCGCUGGCUUCCAAAGGAGGUCAUGCUGGUAGUUACUUUGUCGUGUUAUGAUUUUUCUCUUCUGAUCUUAUUUUUAAUUAAAUCACUGGAGUUGUGCAUUACUUGCAUGACUAAUGAUGACAGAGUGUAUUCCUAGCAGAGGAGACACCUGCUGAGUCAAUAAAUCAAGGAGGGAAAGAUAGCCAAAACAAGUAUCUGAGCAAUCCUGUAGGAAAAAGCAGCACUGUUAACAGACUUAUCUUGUCCUACAGCAGGAGCAUCACCACACUUGGGUGGUGAUUUAGACUCAUGGUUAAAAACAUACAUUAAUAAGUCUCUAAUUUAUUGCACAGGCUGCUGUAUAAAUAAACUUGAAAAGGAAGGAACACUGUUUUAUUUUCAUACCCAAGUCUGAACGUGCAGAGUUGGUAAUUAGAAAAAAAUAUGCUUACUUUUGUGCACUGACGUGAGCAUUGCUGCAGAAGCAGGUGAAAGGGCCACAUCUUUGGAGCAGAGCCUCCCUUUCAGUAUUAGCUCCUUUUAUUGAGCUGUAGGUGCUGUCAGGGGGUUUCCUUACUGGAUGCCUGUUUGUGUGUGGCUACACCAAAGUGAGCUUAUGUAAGUCCGUGUGCAGCUGGAGUUGUGUUUUCAAUCAGUGCCUUCUUAAUACAUGUAAUAUUUAGUUAAUCUGGAUGAAUUAAAAUUCAGCCUAGCAAGAAGAUUCUAAGCUGUAUUUCAUGGCUUCUGGGCAACCAAUACUUUACUAUCAUGC